CCUUUCUUGUAAUGGCACCGUAUAGAAAUAUCAGGUUUGUUGAAUCAAUCCUAACACCGCUUGUCACCCACAGACCAAGUUUUGUACAAGACACUACAGACUUUCUAUGGAAACUUAAA